rnacentral:rRNA from 1 species
AUUGAACGCUGGCGGCAGGCCUAACACAUGCAAGUCGAGCGGCAGCGGGAAAGUAGCUUGCUACUUUUGCCGGCGAGCGGCGGACGGGUGAGUAAUGCCUGGGAAAUUGCCCAGUCGAGGGGGAUAACAGUUGGAAACGACUGCUAAUACCGCAUACGCCCUACGGGGGAAAGCAGGGGACCUUCGGGCCUUGCGCGAUUGGAUAUGCCCAGGUGGGAUUAGCUAGUUGGUGAGGUAAUGGCUCACCAAGGCGACGAUCCCUAGCUGGUCUGGGAGGGUGAUCAGCCACACUGGAACUGAGACACGGUCCAGACUCCUACGGGAGGCAGCAGUGGGGAAUAUUGCACAAUGGGGGCAACCCUGAUGCAGCCAUGCCGCGUGUGUGAAGAAGGCCUUCGGGUUGUAAAGCACUUUCAGCGAGGAGGAAAGGUUGAUGCCUAAUACGUAUCAACUGUGACGUUACUCGCAGAAGAAGCACCGGCUAACUCCGUGCCAGCCGCCGCCGUAACAC